rnacentral:rRNA from 1 species
AUGCGUGAGUGUCCCCAGACCAACCCCAAUCAAUCUGCUAAAGCUGUUGGCCGUGGCAAGCCGACAGGGAAGGUGUUUCAUGCUAAACCGGUCACCGCUUCACGUGGCCAUGUCAACUGUAUCUCUGCCGAAGAAGCUCAAGAGGACCCCAACGUCGUUCUCGGUACGCUUCUUGUUAAUUGCCACCCGGCAUCUGUUCUUUUCGAUACAGGAGCCUCUCAUUCUUUUAUAUCCGAAAAUUAUGCUCGUUUGCAUAAUGUUGCAUUCUGUGACUUGCCGUCCACUAUGGAAAUUUCUACCCCUGGUUCUAGAUGGCAGACCUCUAGGGUAAGUUAUGGAAAUGAAAUCCAAGUCGACAGACUUGUUUUCCUCGCAUCUUUGAUAGCCCUUAAAUCUUCAGAUAUUAAUAUCAUUCUGGGUAUGGACUGGAUGUCAGCUCAUCAUGCCCAAAUUGAUUGCUUCUCUAGGACUGUUCAACUCACCCAUCCUUCGGGAAAGAUAGUCAAUGUCUUGACCCGAAUAGCCAAGCGACAAUUAUAUUCUCUUAACGCCAGCCCUUUGCCAGACCUUGAGGACGUGCCGGUAGUCCGUGACUUCCCGGAUGUCUUUCCAGAGGAAUUGCCAGGUGUUCCACCUGACAGGGAUGUUGAGUUCGUAAUCGACCUCAUCCCCGGAACCGUUCCGAUUGCUAGAAGACCUUAUAAGAUGGCACCACUAGAACUAGCCGAGCUUAAGAAGCAACUCGAUGAAUCCUUGAAAAAGGGUUUCAUCCGACCUAGCUCAUCUCCGUGGGCUUGCCCCGUCCUGUUCGUCAAGAAGAAGGAUGGUACGGACCGGAUGGUUGUAGAUUACCGACCUGUCAAUUUGGUCACAAUCAAGAACAAAUAUUCACUUCCCAGGAUCAACGAUCUGUAUGAUCAGCUCGCUGGAUCCUCAGUCUUCUCCAAGAUGGAUUUGAGGUUGGGCUACCAUCAAAUCAAAAUCAGAAACGGGGACAUUCCUAAAACGGCCUUUGUUACUCGUUAUGGCCAAUACGAGUACACCGUCAUGUCCUUCGGAUUAACCAACGCUCCAGCCACCUUUUCUCGGUUAAUGAACUCAAUCUUCAUGGAGUAUUUGGAUAAAUUCGUCGUAGUUUAUCUCGAUGAUAUACUCAUCUACUCCAAGAACGAGGAAGAACAUGCCGAACAUUUAAGGCUAGUGUUGAAGAAACUUCGAGAGCAUCACAUUUAUGCCAAAUUUUCGAAAUGUGAAUUCUGGUUGUCAGAAGUGACCUAUCUGGGUCAUGUAAUAUCUGGUAAAGGUAUUGCUGUUAACCCUGAGCGAGUUCAAGCCGUCCUUAAUUGGACUCCACCUGAAUCGGUCAAGCAAGUUCGGAGUUUUCUAGGCUUAGCGAGCUAUUGCCGUCGCUUUGUCGAGAACUUCUCCAAAGUUGCUAAACCUCUAACCGAACUCCUCAAGAAAGAUAAGAAGUUCGAAUGGACUCCACAAUGUGAGCACAGCUUUCAGGAACUGAAAAGACGCCUGACCUCUGCUCCCGUGCUGGUACCGCCAGACUUCUCCAAGGACUUUGUUAUCUUCUGCGACGCCUCGCGACAAGGACUAGGUUGCAUUCUCAUGCAAGAUCGACACGUAAUUGCUUACGCUUCACGGCAAUUGCACCCACAUGAGGAGAACUAUCCUACUCAUGAUCUAGAGCUUGCAGCCGUAGUCUAUGCACUUAAGACCUGGCGACAUUACCUCCUCGGUAAUCGUUGCGAAAUAUUCACUGAUCACCAAAGCCUGAAGUACAUUUUCACCCAACCGGAUUUGAAUCUCAGGCAGAGACGUUGGGUUGAAUUGAUCACAGACUUCGACUUAGGAAUAACCUACACCUCAGGGAAAGCCAACGUCAUGGCUGAUGCGCUAAGUCGUAAAUCUUAUUGUAACAACCUGAUGUUACAACAAAGUCAACCGCUUCUCCAUGAGGAAUUUCGGAAGCUUAACCUUCACAUUAUACCUCAAGGUUUUCUUUCCACCUUGGUGGCAAAACCUACCCUUACGGAUCAAAUCAUCAAAGCACAGAAGGUAGAUCCGGGAAUCUCCCGCAUCAAGAGAAACAUUCAGAAAGGAAUUGCGAAUUGCUUCUCCAUUAAUGAUCAAGGGGUCGUAUACUUCGGGGAUCGACUAGUGGUUCCCAAAGUGCGCAACCUGAGGCGAUUGAUCCUUAAGGAAGCUCAUGAAUCUCCUCUCACCAUUCAUCCCGGUAGUACUAAAAUGUAUCAGGACCUACGCCAGAGGUUCUGGUGGACUAGAAUGAAGAGAGAAAUUGCUCAGUAUAUUGCAAAUUGCGACGUCUGUCGACGUGUAAAAGCAGAGCAUCAACGGCCUGCUGGCACCCUUCAACCCUUAGCUAUUCCUGAAUGGAAAUGGGAUAAAAUUGGUAUGGAUUUCAUUACCGGCUUUCCCAGGACCAAGAGAGGGAAUAAUGCUAUCUUCGUCGUGGUCGAUCGUCUUUCCAAAGUAGCUCAUUUCUUACCUGUUCGUGAGAGUAUAACCGCUAGUCAGCUGGCAGAUUUGUACAUCUCCCGAAUAGUGUCUCUCCAUGGUGUUCCUUUGGAAAUUAACUUGGAUCGAGGAAGUCUUUUCACCUCUCGAUUUUGGGAAAGUUUCCAAAAUGCUAUGGGAACCCGUCUCUCCUUUAGCACCGCUUUCCACCCUCAGUCGAGUGGUCAAGUGGAACGCGUCAAUCAGAUUCUAGAAGACAUGCUUCGAGCCUCCGUUAUCUCUUUCGGAAUGGACUGGGAGAAGUGCCUUCCAUUUGCCGAAUUCGCUUACAACAACAGCUAUCAAUCUAGCUUGGGUAAAGCCCCUUUUGAAGUUCUCUAUGGACGACGAUGUCGAACACCCCUUAACUGGUCAGAGACCGGGGAAAGACAAUUCUUUGGCCCGGAUAUGAUUCAGGAAGUAGAAGAACAAGUUCGUAUCGUUCGUGAAAAGUUGAAAACAGCCCAAUCUCGUCAAAAGAGUCAAUAUGACCGAAAACAUAAGGCUAUGACUUUCGAGGUUGACGAGAAGGCUUAUCUUCGGGUCACCCCUCUGAAGGGAACCCAUCGUUUCGGUAUCAAAGGCAAAUUGGCUCCUCGUUACAUUGGACCUUUUCGCAUUCUUGCCAAACGAGGAGAAGUUGCCUACCAGUUGGAACUACCUCCGCACCUCUCCAGAGUUCACGAUGUCUUCCACGUUUCUCAACUCAGGCGUUGCUUCUCGGAUCCUAUCCGUGAAGUGGACCACGAAACGCUUGAUCUCCAAGAUGAUCUUACAUAUCGAGAGUACCCCAUUCGUAUCCUCGAUCAAGCCGAACGUACCACGCGACGUCAUAAUAUCAAGUUUCUCAAGGUUCAAUGGUCGCACCAUUCUGAGGAUGAAGCAACUUGGGAAAGGGAGGAUCGUCUUCGACUUGAAUAUCCCGCCUUCUUCUUGGAGGAACCCAAAUCUCGGGACGAGAUUCUUUUGAGUGGGGGUGAGUUGUCACACCCUAGCUAG